rnacentral:rRNA from 1 species
AGAGUUUGAUCAUGGCUCACAAUGAACGUUGGCGGCGUGGAUUAGGCAUGCGAGUCGAGCGAGAACCCGCGGGGGGGACAGCGGCGAACGGGGUAGGAAUACGUAGGUAACGUACCCUCGGGGCGAGGACAGCCACGGGAAACUGUGGGUAAUACUCGAUAAACUUCCCAAUCAUUAUGGAAGGGGAAGCAGUGGGUGUGGUUCCACCUGAGGAGCGGCUUACGCAUUAUCAGCUAGUUGGUGAGGUAACGGCUCACCAAGGCUACGACGCUUAGGGGGUGUGAGAGCAUGGCCCCCACCACUGGCACUGAGACACUGGCCAGACACCUACGGGUGGCUGCAGUCAAGAAUCUUCGGCAAUGGACGCAAGUCUGACCGAGCGACGCCGCGUGUGGGAUGAAGGCCUUCGGGUUGUAAACCACUGUCAGAGGGGAUGAAGUAUACGAGAGUUAUCUCUUGUAUUUGACAGACCCUCAGAGGAAGCACGGGCUAAGUUCGUGCCAGCAGCCGCGGUAAUACGAACUGUGCGAACGUUAUUCGGAAUCACUGGGCUUAGAGGGUGCGUAGGCGGUUAUCUAAGUCAGGUGUGAAAUCUCUCGGCUCAACCGGGAAACUGCGCUUGAAACUGGAUGACUGGAGGGAUGCAGGGGUGUGUGGAACUUCCGGUGGAGCGGUGAAAUGUGUAGAUAUCGGGAAGGAACGCCAGCAGCGAAAGCGGCACACUGGGUCAUCUACUGACGCUGAGGCACGAAGCUAGGGGAGUGAACGGGAUUAGAUACCCCAGGUAUCUAGCCGUAACCACUGACGGCUGGGGGGGGAGGGUAGCUCGUCUUCUUCCGUACGAAUGCGUGAUGUCCGACGUGAGGAGUCUGGUCGCAAGGCUGACUCAAAUGUAAUUGACGUGCCCUCACAAGCGGAUGGAAAUCCAUGUGACUUAAUUCCGAGGCU